rnacentral:rRNA from 1 species
AUCUAUAGCUAUACCAUACUGAACACAAUAGGUCUUGUCUGGUCUUGGAAGCUAAGUAAGGUCAGGCCUGGUUGGUAUUUAGAUGGGAGAUGUCCAGUGUAAGCAAGUCUCAUC